AUGCUCGAUGCACUUUGCCAGGCUGAGAUUGGUCGGAUACCCACGGUGGAUGCUCUCUCCAAAAGAAAUGUCAUGUUAAACUAAUGUUGCAUGAUAUAUACAUACAGUUUGGCAUCUGGUGAGUAAGUGGUGUAAUAUCCCGCCUUUCUUCACCUUUUCAAAUCGGGAUUAAUUAUUCGAGCUACACAAAGGCUUGAUCCAGGUCUCAACUACAAAGAAGAUCGUGCAGUGCACACAAUGGGCCAGAUACGAGACAGUUCUCAACAACAUAAAUAUUGUCCAUCAAAAUAGGUUAAUGAAAGAAGAUUAAAGGCACAACUUUCAUGUGGAUAAAACAUAGGAUGUGUAAUUUCAAGUUUUGGUUCCCUUAUGUGUCCGUAAGAUUGUGUUUGGGCAGGUUCUAGCUCCUUGUUAGUUCUCUAUUUUUCUAAGGGUGUAAGGGGUGCUCACCUAAGAGGUGAGUCCCCUCUCUUACACAUAACCAACCAAAUAGUGCCACGUCAACUCCCCUCUAAUACUCCCCUAAUACCCCUUUUUUAUGGCGGCACUCCCCUCUUAGGUGAGUUCGAUUUUUUUUUUUUUUUUUUUUUUUUUUGUAAAAUUAUGCAUGUUUAUAAAUUAAAUAAAAGACAUUUCAUUA
rnacentral:lncRNA from 1 species